rnacentral:lncRNA from 1 species
ACAAAAAAUCGUCGUAAAGGACUCGUAGGUCAACGAGGAAAUAACGAGGAAAUAUAAAAAUACAGAACGCGGGACUCGUUAAUUCCACGUAGGACAAAAUCGUCGUAAAUACCACGUACGAUGAAUUCGUCGUAAAAACCACGUAGGAUGAAAUCGUCAGGUUUGGGGUUUGGGGUUUGGGGUUUCGGGUUUUGGGUUUGGGGUUUGGGGUUUCGGGUUUCGGGUUUUUGGUUUCGGGUUUCGGGUUUAGGGGUUCGGGUUUUGGGGUUUGGGGUUCGGGGUUUAGGGGUUCACAGUUUGGGGUUUCGGGUUUAGGGGUUCGGGGUUUCGGGUUUUGGGUUUUGGAUUUCGGGUUUCGGGUUUCGAGUUUGGGGUUUCGAGUUUAGGGGUUCAGGUUUAGGGGUUCGGGGUUUGGGGUUUCGGGUUUUGGAUUUCGGGUUUCGGGUUUCGU